rnacentral:tRNA from 1 species
GCCUUCGUGGUGUAAUAGUCAAGUACACUCGGCUCGUACUCGAGAGGUCCGCGGUUCGAGUCCCUUCCAGGGCA